rnacentral:rRNA from 1 species
GACGAACCGAGCGAACGUUGUUCGGAAUCACUGGGCUUAAAGGGCGCGUAGGCGGGUGCUCAAGUCCGGGGUGAAAUCCUCCAGCUCAACUGGAGAACUGCCUCGGAUACUGGGUGUCUCGAGGGUGGUAGGGGGUAUGCGGAACUAUCGGUGGAGCGGUGAAAUGCGUUGAUAUCGAUAGGAACUCCGGUGGCGAAGGCGGCAUACUGGACCACGUCUGACGCUGAGGCGCGAAAGCCAGGGGAGCAAACGGG